UUGCCUUGGUGCCCAGGCAUAAGUCUCCCUC
rnacentral:piRNA from 1 species